GACGAACGCUGGCGGCGUGCUUAACACAUGCAAGUCGAACGGAAAGGCCCCUUUGUGGGUACUCGCGUGGCGAACGGGUGAGUAACACGUGAGUAACCUGCCGUUGGCUUCCGGAUAACUUCAGGAGACUGGGGCUAAUACCGGAUAGGUAUCCUUGCUUCAUGUUGGUUGUUGGAAAGCUUCUGCGGUUUUGGAUGGACUCGCGGCUUAUCAGCUUGUUCGUGGGUGAGUUACUUACGAAGGCUUUGACGGGUAGCCGGCCCGGGAGGGGGACCGGCCACAUUGGGACUGAGAGACGGCCCAGACUCCUACGGGAGGCAGCAGUGGGGAAUAUUGCCCAAUGGGCGGAAGCCUGAUGCAGCAACGCCGCGUGCGGGAUGACGGCCUUCGGGUUGUGAACCGCUGUCAGCAGGGGCGAAGCUUGUGGUGACGGUACCUGCAGAAGAAGCACCGGCUAACUACGUG
rnacentral:rRNA from 1 species